GACGUAGGGCGCGAGCGUUGUCCGGAUUUAUUGGGCGUAAAGAGCUCGUAGGCGGCUUGUCGCGUCGACUGUGAAAUCCCGCGGCUCAACUGCGGGUCUGCAGUGGGUACGGGCAGACUAGAGUGUGGUAGGGGAGACUGGAAUUCCUGGUGUAGCGGUGAAAUGCGCAGAUAUCAGGAGGAACACCGAUGGCGAAGGCAGGUCUCUGGGCCACUACUGACGCUGAGAAGCGAAAGCAUGGGGAGCGAACAGG
rnacentral:rRNA from 1 species